rnacentral:rRNA from 1 species
AACGAACGCUGGCGGCAUGCCUAACACAUGCAAGUCGAACGAGACCUGCGGGUCUAGUGGCGCACGGGUGCGUAACGCGUGGGAACCUGCCCGUAGGUUCGGGAUAACUCCCCGAAAGGGGUGCUAAUACCGGAGAAUGUCUUCGGACCAACGGUUUAUCGCCUUUGGAUGGGCCCGCGUUGGUUUAGCUGGUUGGUAGUGUAAAAGCCUACCAAGGCGACGAUCCCGAGCUGGUCUGGGAGGAUGAUCUGCCACACUGGGACUGAGGCCCGGACCCGACUCCGACGGAGGGGAGGGGUGGGGAAUACUGGAGAAUGGGGCCAAAUCCGACCCCGCCAUGCCCGGGGAGUGGUGAAGGGCUUUGGGUUGCAAAGCCCUUUUACCCGGGAUGAUAAUGACAGUAACGGGAGAAGAAGCUCCGGCUAACUACGUG